AUUAUACUCCCUCCGUUCCGAAUUACUUGUUGCAGGUAUGGAUGUAUCUAAAUGCAUUUUAGUUCUAGAUACAUCCAUUUCUGCGACGAGUAAUUUGGAACGGAGGGAGUAGGAC
rnacentral:pre_miRNA from 1 species